AUUGAACGCUGGCGGCAUGCUUUACACAUGCAAGUCGAACGGCAGCGCGGGGCAACCUGGCGGCGAGUGGCGAACGGGUGAGUAAUACAUCGGAACGUACCCAGAAGUGGGGGAUAACGUAGCGAAAGUUACGCUAAUACCGCAUACGUUCUACGGAAGAAAGUGGGGGACCUUCGGGCCUCAUGCUUUUGGAGCGGCCGAUGUCUGAUUAGCUAGUUGGUGAGGUAAAGGCUCACCAAGGCGAUGAUCAGUAGCUGGUCUGAGAGGACGACCAGCCACACUGGGACUGAGACACGGCCAAGACUCCUACGGGAGGCAGCAGUGGGGAAUUUUAGACAAUGGGCGCAAGCCUGAUCCAGCAAUGCCGCGUGAGUGAAGAAGGCCUUCGGGUUGUAAAGCUCUUUUGUCAGGGAAGAAACGGCUGGGGUUAAUACCUUCGGCUAAUGACGGUACCUGAAGAAUAAGCACCGGCUAACUACGUGCCAGCAGCCGCGGUAA
rnacentral:rRNA from 1 species